UAUUGAUUUAGCUCAGGUAGUUCCUGCCUGGUUGAGCUGCUUACCUAUAAAAGGUGAUCUUAUUGAAGCAAAAGUUGUUCAUGAGCAGCUGUGCACAAUGGUCGAGAGGUAGACAAUGGAGAUGGCUCUAAUUUGGCAUUGUUGGAAACCAAACUUGUUGCUAAAGACCUUCAUUUCUGUAUAUUGAUCUGUUUU